rnacentral:rRNA from 1 species
UACGAAGGGGGCUAGCGUUGCUCGGAAUCACUGGGCGUAAAGCGCACGUAGGCGGAUCUUUAAGUCAGGGGUGAAAUCCCAAGGCUCAACCUUGGAACUGCCUUUGAUACUGGGGAUCUCGAGUCCGGAAGAGGUUGGUGGAACUCCGAGUGUAGAGGUGAAAUUCGUAGAUAUUCGGAAGAACACCAGUGGCGAAGGCGGCUCACUGGACCGGUAUUGACGCUGAUGUGCGAAAGCGUGGGGAGCAAACAGG